UACGUAGGUGGCAAGCGUUGUCCGGAUUUACUGGGUGUAAAGGGCGUGUAGGCGGGAUAGCAAGUCAGAUGUGAAAUUCCGGGGCUUAACCCCGGCGCUGCAUCUGAAACUGUUAUUCUUGAGUGUCGGAGAGGAAAGUGGAAGUCCCAGUGUAGCGGUGAAAUGCGUAGAGAUUGGGAGGAACACCAGUGGCGAAGGCGGCUUUCUGGACGAUAACUGACGCUGAGGCGCGAAAGCGUGGGGAGCAAACAGG
rnacentral:rRNA from 1 species